UACGUAGGUGGCGAGCGUUAUCCGGAAUUAUUGGGCGUAAAGAGCGCGCAGGUGGUUGAUUAAGUCUGAUGUGAAAGCCCACGGGUUAACCGUGGAGGGUCAUUGGAAACUGGUCAACUUGAGUGCAGAAGAGGGAAGUGGAAUUCCAUGUGUAGCGGUGAAAUGCGUAGAGAUAUGGAGGAACACCAGUGGCGAAGGCGGCUUCCUGGUCUGUAACUGACACUGAGGCGCGAAAGCGUGGGGAGCAAACAGGAUUAGAUACCCU
rnacentral:rRNA from 1 species